rnacentral:lncRNA from 1 species
GUGAGGUGGUAAACAGAGGAGUUGGCCCUGCCCUGUUCCGUCUUCGCUGCCGGUCUCAGCCGCCCCGUGCACAGCCGGAGCUUAGGUCCAGGGCUUUUUACAUUUCGUCUGAAAUCGUAGUGGGUUUUCGAGAUGUUUUGUCUCAGAAGCCAAACCCUUCUCUGUGACCUUGCCUGCCCCUCCAGUCCCUCUCUGCCCGGACCUGCACUCAGGAGAGCCUAGUCCUAGACCCACAUUUCACAAUUCAGCACUUGUGGUUAACCUGCACCCCAGAAUGCCUUUCCCAAGCCCGGCACAGAGCUAAUCCUGCAACCCCUGGAAGGCAGCUCAGGCCCCUCCAAAACUCCGUUGAUGGUGCUUGCCUCCCUGUCAGAAGCUGCAAGAAAGAGGGGAAUGAGCUAAUGUCAAAAAUACCUCUUCCCUGGCCGUGUCUGAAGUUAGUUGCUGAGACCAGUGUUCUGCUUUGGAAGUUAAGUGCUCUGACUAAAACUGGGGUUGAGGUAAUCUGGAAAGUAAAGGUCAAAUUAACGGAUGUUGAGAGUUUUGUAGGAGAAAUUACUGGCUAACUGGGA